CGCUUCAAGCAAGCUCUCGGCGAUGCGCGCGCGAGGGGGCGGCGCGGCCACGCCGCGGCCGGAGCACCUGGCGGCGCACGCGCGGCUCGUCAAGUCGGCCGACGCGGACCCGUUCGUCGUCAGCACCGUCAUGCGCGCCUACCUCCGCGCCUCGCUCCCGCUGCAGGCGCUGGUCGUCCUCCCGCGGGCUCCUCCCGCGCGCGCCCCGCCUCCUCGCCAACUCCUUCUCCCUCUCCCUCGCCCUCCAGGCCUGCGCCGCCUCCGCCGCGCUCGCUUCGUCGGCCGCGACCCGGCCGCUCGGCGCCUCGCUCCACGCGCGCGCGGUCAGGUCCGGCUUCGCCGCCGCCGAUCUCUUCGUCCGCACCGCGCUCGUCGAGAUGUACGCCAAGUCGGGCCGCGCGGAGCUCGCGCGCGCCGCGUUCGACGAGGCGCCCCGCCGGGACGUGUUCCUCUGCAACGUCAUGCUCGCGGCCUACGUCGCGCGCGGCGAGGUCGCGGAGGCGAGGAGGGUGUUCGACGGAAUGCGGGACCGGGACCUGGUGUCCUGGAACACGAUGAUCCACGGGUACGCCGUGAGAGGGGACGUCGGCAUGGCGAGGGAGAUAUUCGACGCGACGAGCGACAGGGACGCCUUCUCGUGGAGCUCGAUGAUCUCCGCGUACGCCAAGGGCCGUCGGUCCAAGGAGGCGCUGGAGCUGUGGAAGGUGAUGCGAGCGGCGCGUGUCGCUCCAGACUGCAUCACCAUGGUGAGCGUGCUCUCGGCGUGCAGCGACAUGGGGGCACUGACCAUUGGCGCAGAGGUGCACCGGUUUGUCGAGAGCCACAGGGUUGAGGUAGACAUGAAGCUGGGUACUGCUCUGGUUGACAUGUAUGCCAAGUGCGGUGACAUUGAGAAUUCUCUGAAGGUGUUCCGCGCUAUGCCUGUGAUGGACGUGCUUACUUGGAGUUCAAUGAUCAUUGGACUGGCCAAUCACGGACUUGGCCAUGAUGCUCUAAGUUUGUUCUCAGAGAUGAUAUCACAAGGACUGCAACCAAAUGAGAUCACCUUCGUUGGAGUUCUUAUCGCGUGCACUCAUGUUGGUCUAGUGAGUGAUGGCAAGAAGUAUUUCAGCUCAAUGACUGACGUUCACGGUGUGGUGCCAAGGGUCGAGCACUAUGGAUGCAUGGUCGAUCUUUUGGGUCGUGCAGGCCAUGUUGAGGAGGCAAUGCAGCUUAUCAGGAGCAUGCCUUUUGAGCCGGAUGCAAUUAUUUGGAGAACACUUCUUGGCGCCUGUCGCAUCCAUAAGAAUGUAGAGAUUGCAGAGGAAGCUAUGGCCAAAUUGAAAGUACUGGAUCCUCUUGCAGAUGGACACUAUGUGUUGCUGUCAAACAUAUAUGCACAAGCAAACUCGUGGGAAGGUGUUGCAGAAAUGAGAAAAACGAUCAAGAGGGAGAACAUUCAGAGGGUUCCUGGAAGAAGCUCGAUCGAAUGGGAGAACACAGUUCAUGAGUUUGUCUCUGGUGAUAGAUCGCAUCCGAGGAUUGAGGAGAUCUACAAAAUGUUGGAAGAGAUGAUUGGCCGGUUAAUACAAGCAGGAUAUAGGCCCAUGACAAGCUUGGUAUUGCAAGAUAUUGAUGAGCAGUCUAAAAAGCGGGCACUGGCUGAACAUAGCGAGAAACUGGCCAUUGCUUUUGGGCUGCUGACCACCCCUCCAGGGUCAACUCUUCGAAUAACAAAGAACCUCAGAGCUUGUGAAGACUGCCAUUCAGCGAUUAAGCUUAUAUCCUUGGUAUAUGGUCGCAAGUUGAUUAUUAGAGACCGGAAUCGUUUCCACCAUUUUAGUGAAGGGCAGUGCUCAUUCAGGGAACUCAUUUAGAAGCUGAAGGAUUGACAGAAGAUCUGCCUUCCAGUAUACAUCAAACUUAAGAGGGGGAAACAAAGAACAGGAAGCCAAGGAGCAAGCCUAACAUAACAUGGAUGGAGUUGGAGUUUAUCCACUAACGCAAUCAGUCGGUGAGCCGAACACUCGAAAGAAACGGUCUAGUUUCCCCCCAACAAGCCUCCCUUUUCCAGGUUAUCCUUGAAAUUACUACUGUUGUCUAGCCCGUUUGGCACUUAUCUCUCCAUUGCAAUCCUAUCGUGUAGCCUGUUUGGUUCUUAUCCUCUCUCUCUCUCUCUGCAUUGCAUUUUGCAGUACUGUGAUGUGAUGCUGGCGUGCAAUGCCUUGCAGGACCGAGGAGCUGCCUGAAACGCACAAACGAUAAACUAGACGGCUCCCCCUCCCUCAAUGAUUGUGUUCCGCUUUGGGAGCACCCGUUUGGUGGCUUCCGGGUUGCUUCAGUUAUCGUUAACAUUAACACAGGGCGUCCUGAUCCGAUCGCCUCCGUGGAGCGAUGUCGGCCACCGGAUCCCCAGAUCACACGGCUGAGAUGGC